ACAAGGUUUCCGUAGGUGAACCUGCGGAAGGAUCAUUGUCGAAACCUGCAAUGCAGAACGACCUGUGAACGUGUUAUAACAACCAUGCCAGGAUGGGUCUGACGUUAGUUUGAUCCUCGUGGUACAUAGUUGAUGCGUGUCCUUGACAUACCUUUUAGGUCCUCUUGGUCGUUGCGUUGGCUUAACAAAACCCCGGCACGGAAUGUGCCAAGGAAAUAAAAAUUGAAGAAUGGCUUGUUCCAUGAUGUCCCGUUUGCGGUGUGCACAUGGAGCGUGGCUUCUUUGUAAUCAUAAACGACUCUCGGCAACGGAUAUCUCGGCUCACGCAUCGAUGAAGAACGUAGCAAAAUGCGAUACUUGGUGUGAAUUGCAGAAUCCCGUGAACCAUCGAGUUUUUGAACGCAAGUUGCGCCCAAAGCCAUUUGGUCGAGGGCACGUCUGCCUGGGCGUCACGCAUCGUGUCGCCCCCACCAUGACAUCCUUUUGGAUCCCUGGUUGGGGGCGGAUACUGGUCUCCCGUUUAUCAUUGAGUGGUUGGCCAAAAUAAGAGUCUCCUUUGACGGACACACGACUAGUGGUGGUUGAAAUAACCCGGAAUCGUGUCGCGUGUCUCGUUGAAAGGUUGCAUCUUAACAAACCAAACGUGUUGUAAUGACGCUUCGACCGCGACCCCAGGUCAGGCGGGACUACCCGCUGAGUUUAAGC
rnacentral:rRNA from 1 species